rnacentral:rRNA from 1 species
UACGAAGGGGGCUAGCGUUGCUCGGAAUCACUGGGCGUAAAGCGCACGUAGGCGGAUUGCUAAGUCAGGGGUGAAAUCCUGGAGCUCAACUCCAGAACUGCCUUUGAUACUGAGAAGCUUGAGUCCGGGAGAGGUGAGUGGAACUGCGAGUGUAGAGGUGAAAUUCGUAGAUAUUCGCAAGAACACCAGUGGCGAAGGCGGCUCACUGGCCCGGUACUGACGCUGAGGUGCGAAACGUGGGGAGCAAACAGGG